UCAAUGGGAUAAGAGCUCUCCCUUUCUUUCAUUUAAUGGGACUUCUCAAGCUAUUCCUGCUUUAUUAAAGCAUCAGCUUUGGUAUCCAAAGAAGCAGAGCUGUAUAUGGCAAUGAAGAGGAUUACACUCACAUGCAGGGUUUUUAAAUUUAAUAACUUGGUGUUGGUAAGCUGCUUUUAUAAUUGGUUAUCUGUUUCUCUUUUCCUUAGGAGCCUUGCAUCUUUUGGGAUUUCCUGAUCAUUUCAACUGCAGUUUGGCAUUUUUUCACCAGUGUUAUCCAGUCCUCAGGUGAAGCUGCUCUGUGUUGAAGAUGCUACAGACACCCACGUUUGCAAGUAGUCAGUGGGGGGUUACAGCCCAGAGAUGGAGGGAGGGCUGGGGUGCCAGCUUAGGAAUUGCUAGGGGUUUUUUGAAAGUAGUAUGGGUGGAAAGCAGUGUCCAGGAGCCCCCUAAAUGCCUGUGAAGGCACCCACUGACUUUUCAGAUGUGCCACUUAAGUUUUCCUCUCAUUCACCCAGAUAUUCUGUGCGAUUACAGCUGCAGUCUUUGGCUGCAGGCAGUGACCCUGGGUGGUUUGCCUAAAGAGAAGGGAGACUCUUUGAGCUCUCCCCAUCUAUCUGGGUGACUUUGGUUAGGGUUUCUUUACCAUGUCAGAGGGGCAGGGUGUAAAGCAGAGUUGAACAGAACAGAGGCCAGAGGAGCAGAGCAAGAAGCUGCAGAGCCCUGGGCCCAGGAGGCUCUAGGCACCGGAGGGGAGGUGAUCCAGGGGUUCUGCCACCUUCUAACAGACAGUCCAGUGCUUCAGGGCCCGUGCUGGUAAGAGGUCACUGUGGAGGAGAGGUAGGUAGGAGCUACCCCAGGAAAGCCAUCCUUUCAGGCAGUACCUCAGUCUGUACAUUUGCCUUUGGCUUUUUUACUUUGCAGAGAAUGUGUGCAGCCUGAGAGGGCCAGAGCCACCUGCCAGUUAGGUUUGAUGGUCUUCAUCUGUCCUUGUGAGUAAUCUCCUAGUACUACGAGGGUCAUCAAUUCAGGCUGGACCUUUUCCAGCUGCAGGUGCCAUCCAGCCUGCCUUUGGCAAAGGAGGAGCA